rnacentral:tRNA from 1 species
GGUACUAUAGUGUAGAGGUUAUCACUCAGGAUUUUGAUGUACCAGGGCUCGAACCUGGGUUUUCACCUUCCUGAAACCCAGGUUCGAGCCCUGGUAGUACCU